CUGCAAGCCUUCAGCAUGCGUGGGUCUGGGGUGACCCUAAUGCAUUUCUAUCGAGCUUGUGAGAACAUUUUGGAACAGUUUGAGGCCUUGCCCUGCUGCAUCCGGAGCAAGAUUAUAGACAUUUCAGACAGUC